rfam:Triticum urartu cultivar G1812 contig1076882, whole genome shotgun sequence.
AUAGUACUCCCUCUGUCCGGAAAUACUUGUCGAAGAAAUGGAUAUAUCUAGACGUAUUUUAGUUCUAGAUACAACCAUUUUUAUGCAUUUCUCUGACAAGUAUUUCUGGACAGAGGGAGUAUAUC